CGAGAUAAUAUUAAAUUGUCUUUUUUUUUAUCUAUCAAUUGAAUAAUUAAAUAAAUAAAUAAAUAAAUAAAUAAAUAAAUAAAUAAAUAAAUAAAGCUAUCAGAUUUCAACCAUAUUCUUGAUUUAAAUAAAAUGGGAAGACCUUCUAGUAAAAUUUUGUGGAAAGAUAAAACAUCUUCUUCAUAGCUUCAGUAUGAUAUUCCAACCUAUAAAAUAUCUCCACAUCUUUUUUUAUUUUUUUUAUUAAAAAAAAAGAAACUCUUUUUAAUUAAAUUAAAAAAAAAUUAAUUCCCGAUACAAGUACAAAAAAAAGAAGCGUUUCCCUCCUUAAAUAAUCAUUUUUCCUUAUAAUUAGCAACUAAUUCAUAAUUUUUAAAAAAAAUUUUUGAAACGUAAAACAAAGAAUUAUUCUUGCCUUUGGCAUCAGGAUAUUUAGAUUAUACUUUCCUGGGAACAUAUUCUGAAAGAAUGAGAUUUAUUUUAUGAGUGCCCCACAAUGACUAAGAGGGCAUACCAUUAAAUAGGAGCAAAAAACUUGCAUUCAUUCUAAUAACUGAUUAUGGCCCAUAAACGACAAGAUCAUUUAGGGAUUAGCUUGAUGAAUUUUUAUCUAGAAGUAAAAAACUGUAAACAAAUUACGUUGAUUUUGUGUGAGCAAGUUGUCAUUUCUUUUGUUUUUAAAAAGUAAAUAAUAAGUCUUGUCUAUUUUAUUACAUUUCAAUAAAAAACUUUACUAACAUGAAAGAGGACUGUUUAACAAAUACAUUGCUUUCUGUAAAAAUAUGGAAGGUAGUUCGCCUGCUCAAUGAUGGACUCCCACCAUUAAAUUGACGUCGAGAGUUAAAGUAGCAAAAUCCUGUGUUUCUUAAUUAGAUUCGAGUAUGAAAGGUGAUACCUUUUUCUAUUGUUUUAUUGAGAAAUAAGAAAUUAAAAUGUAAGUGAAAAUUCUUAAACAAAUUGUUUAGACGAUUAGACCCUAGAAACUUUAUUCAAAUAGAUUGAUUGGGGAAUUCAAAGUUUAUAAAAAACUUUCCAAUAGAGUUAUUUUCAACAAAACAAAUUAGAUGAGCCAUUAAUCAAGUGGAUGCAUGAAAAGUUACUCUAGGGAUAACAGCAUAAUUUCUUUAGUGAGAACGCAUUGUUAGAGAAGGUUAUGACCUCGAUGUUGAAUUUGGUAAACAUUAUGUGGUAGCCAACAUGGUGCAAGGACUGUUCGUCCUCAACUACCAACAUGAUUUGAGUUAAAAUCGGCGUAAGCUAGACUGGUUUCUAUCUGACAAUUUUUAUAAAAACUUUACUUUAGUACGAAAGGAAUAGGAGGGAGACACAGAGUGUUGAUUUAGAAAAAAUUAAACUAGGGGAAAAGAAAUUAAGAGAAAUCUUUUCUUCUUUUAAUUAGAAAUUAAAUGUAAUAAUAAUGAGGAACUAAUAUU
rnacentral:rRNA from 1 species